GAGUACACCAGGGAUCUAGGACCGUCCUGGAGUUCCGGACCAUCGCAGCCAGAGUCGACAGUCUACUCAAAAGCAUGUAGGAUGAAGACAAGCCAUCUCAAAGCUUCACUGAAUUUCUCAGAAUCCACAGCUCAGCUGUCUGUACAGUCAUCCUGUGACAGCUUCAUCAUCACCCUCACCUCCUCCCAGGGUUUCCCCCAGCCUGAUGUGUGGUGGAUGGACUCCAUUGGAGGAGACAUCUCCAAUUAGAGCCACGGCCGUAUCGGUCUGGACAGCAGGGGGCGCUAUGAUGUCCACAGCUCCAUGGAGGUCAGGCCAAACAGUACACUCACCAUAAUUGCUGAAAUGAGACUGGAGGUUCUCAAUCAAAGCUUCACCCACUCGCUCACCCUCCACCCUCUCCCAGAAUGCUGUGAGGUGCCUCUUACAACCGGGGGCAGACAGGCUUUGGUAUUAUUAGGGAUAGUUCUCUUAGCAGCAUUAGCAAUGCCACUCAUUUUGUACUUCAGACGCAAGCCUGAAACACACCAACACCAGCUGGUCCCACAUGACGAUACAACAGGACAAGAUGAGGCUCAUGAAACAGAGACUUGAUACAUCAUGAACAAAAACGAGUUAUAAAAGUCUAAGCUUAUAGGACUGUUUCAAUGUCACAAAUAUAGGUGUGUGUGUGUUGCUGCCUUCUGAAAUAUUUCCACUCCCUCUUGGUAAUGUAUUAUAGAGUACUGCUAGCAGUAGACUUUGCUACUCUCUGCAGCCCUAUGUAAUCCAGCCUACUUAGUUUUUUUUGGGAUGCAAAGCUGUCAUGAAGGCGAAGGGUGGCUACUUUGAAGAAUCUCAAAUAAAAAUAUAUUUUGAUU
rnacentral:lncRNA from 1 species